rnacentral:rRNA from 1 species
GACGAACGCUGGCGGCGUGCUUAACACAUGCAAGUCGAACGGAAAGGCCCCUUUGGGGGUACUCGAGUGGCGAACGGGUGAGUAACACGUGAGUAACCUGCCCUUGACUUCGGGAUAACUUCAGGAAACUGGGGCUAAUACCGGAUAGGAAUCCUUGCUGCAUGGUGGGGGUUGGAAAGCUUCGGCGGUUUUGGAUGGACUCGCGGCUUAUCAGCUUGUUGGUGGGGUAGUGGCUUACCAAGGCUUUGACGGGUAGCCGGCCUGAGAGGGCGACCGGCCACAUUGGGACUGAGGUGAGGCCCAGGCACCUAAGGGGGGCAGCAGGGGGGAAUAUUGCACAAGGGGCGGAAGGCUGAUGCAGCAACGCCGCGGGCGGGAUGACGGCCUUCGGGUUGUAAACCGCUUGCAGCAGGGGCGGAGCUUGUGGUGACGGUACCUGCAGAAGAAGCAACGGCUAACUACGUG